UUGAGACUCUUUGACAUCCAGUCUUAAAUGUGAAUAAGUCAAUAGGUGGAAGUUAGAUAAGCCCAUGAUGACAUAAAUCACAUUAGUGCUAAGUAGGAAUAAAAAUAUAAACUAUAAAGUGGUAUGAGGAUUGGUUCUUUUUUGUAAGUUUAUUCUUAGUUUUUUGAAAGUUGAUUUUGCCUAAGGGUCAAUGUAAAUUCAUGUGUCUAUUAAAACACUGGGACAUUUCAUAAUAAAGUGGACUAAUUAAAGUCGAGAGUGGCAUCAGGAAGAAUAAAAGUGACUUGUAGUAAAGGUGACUUGGCCAACAUUCUUGAACCGCCAUGAGUUCAAGUCCUCGAUGAGGACUGUGGUCCAGCAGACAAACUUGAUGUCAUAUGUACGUGUUUUCCUACCUUCCAGUGGGCCAGUGCUGGAAAAAAAAUCUUAAAAAAUUUUAGUAUUGUUAAAACUUGAAUAGCAGGAAGGAAGAAUGGAAGAAGUGACAAGCUUAGACAAUGUAAAGGUGGCAGAAUGUGUUCCUAAUUGAAGUCUGGGCUGUAGAAUUCUGCAUUUCACUGCUCUCAAUUUCUGCUUUCAUUUAAGAACAGAGGCUACAGUUUCAGGGGGAAAUAAAUGUUUCAUGACUUUCAAAUACUAAGUUGGAUAAAAAAUUAUUGUCACAAUAUUUUUUCAAUAUAGUAGCAAAGGAGAACUAAGCUUUUUCCAAAUUGCUGAAAAAAAUUGGUAGAUGGCAGCUAUUUCAGGACUUAAUGAAUGGUCAGUAACAAGAUGGGACGAUACAGGGGAAAAACUAUCAUGUAAUCUGAUACAUCUUAGUGAAGGAAAUAAGAGUGAGGUAAAAUUUAAGAUGAACUGUUAGACACCACUAUGAGGAUGGAUUCAAGCUAGCGGGGGUAAGAGAUUGAAAUAGGAAAUGUAUUAGAAGGAUUCUGAAUGGUUCACUCAGAAAGCCUCUUUUGUGUUCCUACCAUGUGAUAGGCUUGGUUCCAGGUGCUAAGACAAGUCAUGGACCAAAAAAUGUCCAUUCUUGUGGAGCAUAUAUUCUAAGUUGAAGGAAGACGUACAUAAUGUGUUAGUGAUAUGUAUUAUAAGGAAAAGCAGAGGAAGGGGUACUUUAGAUGGAGUGAUCAGAGGAGAUUCCAGUGUGGUGAAAUAUGCAGAGACGUACCUGAAGGAAGUGAGGGAGGGAGCUGACCAUGCUAACAUCUGGCAGACGUGUGUUUGAGGCAGAA
ensembl:lncRNA